rnacentral:lncRNA from 1 species
UAAGGAGCCUGGGCUUAGAUAUAGUGUUGAAAUGGAUCUAAUUCAUCUCUCCCCUUCUCCUGCUUUACAGGAGAGAAAAUUGGGCCCCAAAGAGGUAAAUGGCAGAGUCAGACUUGGAACUCAAGCCCUCUGACCCCAAAUGCAGCCAACUUUCCACUUUAACGUCCUGCCCUCCAUCUUCUGCCACUGCCUUUCCAGCAGUCCCAGAUUGGAAGGCCAAAGUGCCUCCCAACUGGAGCCUGAAGUGGACUGGUCUAAGAACCAAAUGAGUCCAGCAAAGUGGGAAGAACUUUGGGCUUAGAAUAAAAUGAGUUUAUCUUCAAGCCCCGACUCUUCCAUUGACUGGAUGAUCUUGGGCAAAUCCUAUCCCUCUUAGGUGUGCAGAAUUGCCUGCUCUGUAAAUAGAGGAGAUGGGAAGAGAUAAUUUUUCUCAGGUCUCCUCCUCCCAACCGACUGGAGCUGCUGGAACCCCCUUCCGGCAAUGUUCCAAAGGUAGAUGAGUAUCUGCCCUGGCUUGGAAGUGGGAGAGGGAUAGGUCAAAGGUAAUCUGAAAAUAUGGUGAUUUUCUGACAGCUUCCAACUUCAACCUCCCAGAAUAAGGUUUGGGGCCAAGGCUGCCCAAUGCCUCUCUUUGUCCUUUGUUUUAGCCCGCCAUGUUAAUCCAGAGUCCCUCAGAAAAACAGAGAGGUGUCAGAGGGAUUUUGAAUGGAAAAGCUGAACAAAGAGAAACCAGAUCCUGCUGGAUAAAUCAGCAUUAAAAGGAAAGGAAGGAUGUUUAACCCUCAAAAUCCCUGACAUCUGGAACUAAAAACCUGCUUCAGCUGGGUGUCUGGAAGCACCAAAUGGUGUCCAAGAAGUCACUGCUGCUCUGCACCACUGGAACUCAACACUCCAGAUCUCAGGCAGGAGGCAAAGGGGGACACUGAGCCUGGGAACCACUCAGAUCCGGGGCUCCUGCUCCGUGAAGUCACCUCUUUGCAGGAAAAACAAUUACAGGCCUUGGAUGGAAGGGGGGUAGCAGUGAUUCAGAGCUGCCCCCAGGAUCCCGCCUUUGAACUGACACAAACCAAGGAACUUCUGGGAAAUGGCCAAAGCAAACAGGCUUGCCUCCCUCCCUCCAACAAAAGACCAGAGAUCCCAUGAAUAAGUCUCUACUGACCCAGUCUUCAGGCACUUGGGACCCUGCUGCCUCUGUGUGGUUCUAGAUAAAUGCCAUCAAGAAAGGAAAUAUGAGGAGAGAAAGCCAAACUUAAAGGGAUCAACACAUCUAGACCUGAUGAGAGUCAGGAUCUUUGAGAUUCAUUUUGGGGAGAGGAAAGAGAACUAGAGUGCAUUUCACCAAAAGCCCUUACCUCACCAGCCUUGACCAUAUCUACAAGGAAACGUGGAAGGAAAGAGGGAAAGAGAUAAGAAAUAUUUUACAAAGUUAUAACUCUUCCUGUGUCCCCACCCCCCUUGAAGAACUGGGAGACCAGGAUUUUAAUGUCAGAAGGCCCAAGGAUCUAUGCCAGUUCCCCCCCUCCCCAAUUCAAGUUAAUAAAACAUGUCUAAGCACCUACUGUGUGCAACAGAGUAGAGUCAAUUUCUGUUUCUCAGGGAACACAGCUUAAAAGCCUG